CACAACUGAAAUGAGAGCAGAAAGGAGAGCCAGAAAGUACAGAAUUUAACACAGCUAUUGAUCAAUACGCAAAACCAGGAAAGGAUGAAAGAUCUUUGUUACGGUCUUCCAAAAAGACCUAUGAAGUGGGUUUGUCCUAAGCAG